UACGUAGGGUGCAAGCGUUAAUCGGAAUUACUGGGCGUAAAGCGUGCGCAGGCGGUUGUGCAAGACCGAUGUGAAAUCCCCGGGCUCAACCUGGGAAUGGCAUUGGUGACUGCACGGCUAGAGUGUGUCAGAGGGGGGUAGAAUUCCACGUGUAGCAGUGAAAUGCGUAGAUAUGUGGAGGAAUACCGAUGGCGAAGGCAGCCCCCUGGGAUAACACUGACGCUCAUGCACGAAAGCGUGGGGAGCAAACAGG
rnacentral:rRNA from 1 species